GCCCGGGUAGCUCAAUGGGCAGAGCGCUUCCAACGUAUAGGAAGAAGAGUUGGUUCGAAUCCAGCCCCGGGCU
rnacentral:tRNA from 1 species